ACAGUGGUGGUUCAGUGGUAGAAUUCUCGCCUUCCAUCCGGGAGCCCUGGGUUUGAUUCUCAGCCAGUGCA
rnacentral:tRNA from 1 species